UGGCCGUAAACGAUGUGGACUUGGUGUUGGAAUGGCUCCGAGCUGCUCCAGUGCCGAAGGGAAGCUGUUAAGUCCACCGCCUGGGAAGUACGGUCGCAAGGCUGAAACUUAAAGGAAUUGGCGGGGGAGCACUACAACGGGUGGAGCCUGCGGUUUAAUUGGACUCAACGCCGGAAACUCACCGGGGGCGACAGCAAUAUGUAGGUCAAGCUAAAGACUUUACCAGAAUCGCUGAGAGGUGGUGCAUGGCGUAGUCGUGU
rnacentral:rRNA from 1 species